rnacentral:rRNA from 1 species
AUUUGAAAUCUGGCGUCUUCGACGUCCGAGUUGUAAUUUGUAGAGGAUGCUUCUGAGUAACCACCGACCUAAGUUCCUUGGAACAGGACGUCAUAGAGGGUGAGAAUCCCGUAUGCGGUCGGAAAGGUGCUCUAUACGUAGCUCCUUCGACGAGUCGAGUUGUUUGGGAAUGCAGCUCUAAAUGGGAGGUAAAUUUCUUCUAAAGCUAAAUAUUGGCCAGAGACCGAUAGCGCACAAGUAGAGUGAUCGAAAGAUGAAAAGCACUUUGGAAAGAGAGUUAAAAAGCACGUGAAAUUGUUAAAAGGGAAGGGAUUGCAACCAGACUUGCUCGCGGUGUUCCGCCGGUCUUCUGACCGGUCUACUCGCCGCGUUGCAGGCCAGCAUCGUCUGGUGCCGCUGGAUAAGACUUGAGGAAUGUAGCUCCCUCGGGAGUGUUAUAGCCUCUUGUGAUGCAGCGAGCGCCGGGCGAG